rnacentral:lncRNA from 1 species
UUUUUUUAUUACAGCCUAUAAAGAGAACAAUACUGUAAAAACAUUUUUGUUCAGUGAAGCAUUGUAAUUUCAGUGUGAAUUACUAGAUUGAAGUGUCCCGUGAUUCAUUCAGUUAUUUGCCUUGCUGGUUGCUGUGCUGUGACAAUCCUGUGCUCUGAGGUGUGUCCCGACCAGGACAACCAUGAGCUGGAUGUGUGAUGUGGAUAACUGCAGCUUGUGAAUUGCAUCAGCAUGCAUUGCACAUACAAGUAAGCAAGCACAAGAGGAAUCCUCAGUCAUGAAGCCUACAAUGCAGCGUUUUCCUACCCAGCACUUUGGUGGUGCCAGUGCACUUUGGUCGUAGCACAGACUUUGCUCUCAUUAAGCUCAAUAAACUUCGAGUAGGCAACUGCA